rnacentral:rRNA from 1 species
CAGCAUAAUGGAUAGCAAUAUCUAUGGUGGCGACCGGCGCACGGGUGCGUAACGCGUAUGCAACCUACCUUUAACAGGGGGAUAACACUGAGAAAUUGGUACUAAUACCCCAUAAUAUCAUAGAAGGCAUCUUUUAUGGUUGAAAAUUCCGAUGGUUAGAGAUGGGCAUGCGUUGUAUUAGCUAGUUGGUGGGGUAACGGCUCACCAAGGCGACGAUACAUAGGGGGACUGAGAGGUUAACCCCCACACUGGUACUGAGACACGGACCAGACUCC